rnacentral:rRNA from 1 species
CACGUAGGGGACGAGCGUUGUCCGGAUUCAUUGGGCGUAAAGCGCGCGUAGGCGGCCCGGAAAGUCGGAUGUGAAAACCUGGGGCUCAACCCCAGGCGUGCACCCGAUACUCCCGGGCUGGAGGCAGGUAGGGGAGAUCGGAAUUCCCGGUGUAGCAGUGAAAUGCGUAGAGAUCGGGAGGAACACCGGUGGCGAAGGCGGCUUCCUGGACCGACACUGACGCUGAGGCGCGAAAGCUAGGGGAGCAAACGGG